CUUGACGCGCGUGUAGAGGAAAAGAAACGGCAAAUUUUUAGAACGGCUAUAAACGAGAAACACUUUUCGCGUUAAGUAAUUAUGAAAAUAUUCCGCGGGCGCGUGUAUGCGAACGACACAACAACACACACGACGAGAACGAAAAAGAUGCGAGUCGGUGAGCUUACGAUUCGGUCGUUACGUAUCGUCUAUCGCUGUUCAUCCAAUGGAAAACGAGAUCGUUGUUCGACGGUUUUUUCCCCAUGAACUAUGACCGUAACCUAUGAC